AUUAAUUCGAUGCAACGCGAAAAACCUUACCUACCCUUGACAUGUCUGGAAUGCCGAAGAGAUUUGGCAGUGCUCGCAAGAGAACCGGAACACAGGUGCUGCAUGGCUGUCGUCAGCUCGUGUCGUGAGAUGUUGGGUUAAGUCCCGCAACGAGCGCAACCCUUGUCAUUAGUUGCUACGAAAGGGCACUCUAAUGAGACUGCCGGUGACAAACCGGAGGAAGGUGGGGAUGACGUCAAGUCCUCAUGGCCCUUAUGGGUAGGGCUUCACACGUCAUACAAUGGUCGGGACAGAGGGUCGCCAACCCGCGAGGGGGAGCCAAUCCCAGAAACCCGAUCGUAGUCCGGAUCGCAGUCUGCAACUCGACUGCGUGAAGUCGGAAUCGCUAGUAAUCGCGGAUCAGCAUGUCGCGGUGAAUACGUUCCCGGGUCUUGUACACACCGCCCGUCACACCCAUGGGAGUGGGUUUACCCAGAAGUAGUUAGCCUACCGCAAGGAGGCGUUACCAUC
rnacentral:rRNA from 1 species